UAACCUCUGAGCUAAGCGGGCCCACAUCACAGAAAUCUUAUAUGCAUAGUAAUUAACUAAACUACUGGAAUUGGA
rnacentral:tRNA from 1 species